AGGAGGAAAAUGAAGAGGGGAAAAAAAUCUUGAAAAAUAGCAGUCUACCCAUUCUACCUAGACUGCGUUGUGUCGCACCCCCACCCCACGCGAGAGAUUUGUAAAGCGCGCGCCGCGGAUGUACGUUCAAGCUAAUACCUAUAGACAGAUGUGUCCCCACUGGUUUCAAAGUUUCCUCUUCCCUUCACGCGCGGGCCCCCAUCUCUGUCCUGCAGGAGGUGGGAAAGGAAGGCUUGCCUCGCGCAGAGCUCCUGUGGCCAAGCUUCUUGGAAAUCCGCCACUGCAACUUUGUGCAGCCGCGGCGCGCCGGCGGCGACCCUCUUUGUUUAAGUUCUCGGAUGCCAUCAUCUGGGAAACCUGCAGCCCUGUACCAGCGCGGGGCCCGCGCGUGCGAGUCCGACCGCUUGCUGCGGCUGCUCGCUCUCCAACCCCCCCUCCCUCCUUUCCUCCCUCCCACCCACCCUCCUCUGGGAUUCUUGCAAGUAUCGUGCGUGCCCUUGUGAGUUUGGAGGGUGCCGGUCAACGAAGCCACGCGAGGUAUUUGAAAGGCAAUCAGCCCGACCGUCCCCCUAGAUUCAUCGUUUUGCGAGGUGGCUGUGACCGCUGUCGACAAGUGCUUUCUCAGCCGCAACCCAGCUGAAAGAGUUAAGGGGCCCGGGAGGAGGAGUGCGCCCGCUGCAGGGCACCGGACCGCAAUCUGCAGUUUCUAGUCCAAGCAGCAGCCGAGAACGUAACCCGGCGGUCGGUGUGCUCCGAAUAUAAAGAACUGGCCUGCCUUCUCCCCGAUGCAUAAUUUCUCUAGAGGGCUCACUUCUGUGAACUCAGUUACAGAGGGAGCUCUCCAGCUCAGCAGCAGCCUCGCAGCCUCUGCGUGAUCUCGAGAUUAACCGUAGACGCGGGGCAUUUAUGUAGGAUCGGGUCCAGCUCCUGCUUGCCGGGGUGAAAAGAUACCAUCGUAGAAACAGAUCUAAAAGGCAGCAGUAACCAAAGCCCCAAAACAGAACGGAUUCCCCCCUCCAUUCCAAAAGGUUCCUUUUUAUAUUUAUAUAUGCGUAUAUGUAUAUAUAAAAGAUGGAACACAGAUUUCAUUGAAUAAAUCUGAGAUCUCCAGGUGCA
rnacentral:lncRNA from 1 species